rnacentral:rRNA from 1 species
CCUACGGGUGGCAGCAGUGGGGAAUAUUGGACAAUGGGGGCAACCCUGAUCCAGCCAUGCCGCGUGUGUGAAGAAGGCCCUCGGGUUGUAAAGCACUUUCAGUGAGGAAGAACGCCUGGUGGUUAAUACCCAUCAGGAAAGACAUCACUCACAGAAGAAGCACCGGCUAACUCCGUGCCAGCAGCCGCGGUAAUACGGAGGGUGCGAGCGUUAAUCGGAAUUACUGGGCGUAAAGCGCGCGUAGGUGGCUUGAUAAGCCGGUUGUGAAAGCCCCGGGCUCAACCUGGGAACGGCAUCCGGAACUGUCAAGCUAGAGUGCAGGGGAGGAAGGUAGAAUUCCCGGUGUAGCGGUGAAAUGCGUAGAGAUCGGGAGGAAUACCAGUGGCGAAGGCGGCCUUCUGGACUGACACUGACACUGAGGUGCGAAAGCGUGGGUAGCAAACAGGAUUAGAUACCCCAGUAGUC